rnacentral:ncRNA from 23 species
ACGGGAAGGGGGUGUGAAUCCCCCACGGACCCGCCGCUGUGAUGGGUGAGGUGGCCGCAGUUGCCAUUGGCCUUCGGGCUGAGAAGGCGCGGCCGCCGCGGAGCCUCGGCUCCCCACCCUGAGUCAGAAGACCG